CUGGGAGUAUCUCAGGUGUGGUGUGAAUGGUUACGUCUGUUUGCACGGAAGCAAUUUUCGAAUAUUCAUACGUUUUCCGUUUUCGCGUCGUCUGCGUAAACAAGUUUCCUUUCUUUAAUACGCUCGGUACACUGGUUCGCGUCAACCUUACUCGCAUUGCAACUGGGAAGAGAGAAUCAUUCACCAAGGAACAUUUGACCUGCAAAGCACACUAUAGACGAGAUUAUUUCCAUUAAACUAAAGCAUGGUUUGACAUACAAGUUUAUAAGG